rnacentral:lncRNA from 1 species
UGAUCUGAUAGCUUUCGCGAAAAUUGAAAAGUCGAUUCCGGCUCGUUUUUCGGCGAAAUUCGCCGAAAGAACGCGGUUUCAGUUCGGAUUUCUUCCGACGUGGUUUGUUUAUCUUGUGAAUUGUCGCUGAGCCUUGUUGGCUAGUCACCAUCAUCAUUUUGUGGGUUCGGUGAUGAUGGGUGAGCCACGGUGGGUUCCGGUGUCGAAAUAGACGCUUCCGGGAACUCAUAUUCGUACAAUUAUCCGGCGAUAAUUGUGUAGUGGUGUUAUCUUGUGUUUGCUGCCAAGACAUCCAAAUCGGAGUGUUCUGUGGUAGCGGGUGACUCGUGUCACGAGUCGGUGAGUAUCGGGACACUUAUUGGGUCCCGAUGGCGUCCCGGUGUGGUUUUCGGGACUUCCAUAGAGUUACGGUGAUCGGUUUUGAAAAACCGAUUACGUGGAUUUGUGUGGGGCUUUGUGAGAUUGUGUACUUUGGGUUAGUGGGUUGGUUACUGACCUGGUGGAACUUCGUAGGUCCGGUUGAUGAUCGUGUACAGUUGGGAGACAGGUGCGACACUAGUACAGGUGGGUACUUCGAUCCGAAGUUGGUACAGUGGUGCACGCUCGGUGAUGGUU